UUUCUUCGGAUUGAAGUUUUUGUGACUGAGUGGCGGACGGGUGAGUAACGCGUGGGUAACCUGCCUCAUACAGGGGGAUAACAGUUAGAAAUGACUGCUAAUACCGCAUAAGCGCACAGAGCUGCAUGGCUCGGUGUGAAAAACUCCGGUGGUAUGAGAUGGACCCGCGUCUGAUUAGCUGGUUGGUGGGGUAACGGCCUACCAAGGCGACGAUCAGUAGCCGGCCUGAGAGGGUGAACGGCCACAUUGGGACUGAGACACGGCCCAAACUCC
rnacentral:rRNA from 1 species